rnacentral:rRNA from 1 species
GAGAUAGAGCUUUCCCUUCGGGGACAAAGUGACAGGUGGUGCAUGGUUGUCGUCAGCUCGUGUCGUGAGAUGUUGGGUUAAGUCCCGCAACGAGCGCAACCCUUAUUGUUAGUUGCCAUCAUUUAGUUGGGCACUCUAGCGAGACUGCCGGUGACAAACCGGAGGAAGGUGGGGAUGACGUCAAAUCAUCAUGCCCCUUAUGACCUGGGCUACACACGUGCUACAAUGGGAAGUACAACGAGUCGCUAGACCGCGAGGUCAUGCAAAUCUCUUAAAGCUUCUCUCAGUUCGGAUUGCAGGCUGCAACUCGCCUGCAUGAAGCCGGAAUCGCUAGUAAUCGCGGAUCAGCACGCCGCGGUGAAUACGUUCCCGGGCCUUGUACACACCGCCCGUCACACCACGAGAGUUUGUAACACCCGAAGUCGGUGAGGUAACCUUUUUGGAGCCAGCCGCCUAAGGUGGGAUAGAUGAUUGGGGUGAAGUCGUAACAAGGUAGCCGUAUCGGAAGGUGCGGCUGG